GUUUUUAUCGUUUAAACAUUUUUUUUUUUUUCCUUCUUUAUAAUAAACAAUUUCCAUUUAAGUAAUGCACUGCUGUUAAAGGAAUUAUUUGUUAAGUCUUUUCUUUAUUCUAACAGUCUGCUUGCCCCACGCUAUCGACAAAUUUUUCAAUUUUGGUUUUUUUCGCAUUUUUAGUCUGAUUAAUUUUUGGCUGAAAGGAAGUUAAAGCCGUCAGAUACGAAUGUCGAGCGCGAAGAGUUGAAUAUCAGAUGAGAGUUUUCAGAUCCGAGCGCUUGGGAAAAAAAAAAAAAAAAAAAUCAUUUGUAAGGCCAAAUGUAUGGGAAUCGCGAGGAAACAUAUAACAUAACGAUAGAUUCAAAUUGAGAAAUUCGAAACACAUUCUGUAGUCCUCUUUGGCGAAUUUUAUCACGUGGAAUUGAUUUAUCGCUUGAUGCAAAGUGCUGCCGUCGGAGAUGCUAUUCACAUAAAUUCUCUUUAAUAUCGCAUUAUGGUUUGGAAAGACAAGAUUUUACUAAUCGUUUUCUCUCCGUGAUUAUGCGUAUACUAAAACCUAUUCGGUCGAAAAUGGUCCUAUUUAUCAUUUAAAUAAUCUCGAUUACAAACACCACCGGAAUCGAUUUUCGGAAUUUUUAUUCUUUGCACCAAACGUGAUUUUGAGUUUUUAGUUUUCGAUGGCGGAUUUUACGAUUUUUAUCUUUAAUAAUGGCGACGACGAUGCUACUGCUGCUGCUGCUGCUGCAAAUGGAGGAGAAUUUUAGACGAAUACGGAUCUAUAUUGUCAAGUGAUCCACUUUCGAAAUUGACAGACGUUGUCUUUCGUAUCUAUCGCAUGGCCAGUUUCGUUUGUUUGUUCGUGAGAAAUCCGAGCCCCGUGCAACUUAUAGGGCAAAGAAUUCAGAUUGAUUGUUUAAGAUGGUGUACUCGAGUCACAGAACAAUUCACGUAUCAGUUUUUAAUUGUUUAGCAGUGGAAAUUUUCGGUUCGAUGACCUCAGCAGUAAUUGGAGAGAAGUUUCGGUCACGGAUGAAAACGUCACCGUCUUGUUGUGUUUUUUUUUUUUUUUUCUUGGAACCAGUACACCGAAAGGUAAAAGUGACCUUCAUCUUGCGAGCUCGAAUUCGAGUUUUUAAUACGUUGAACACAUAUCGAUAAAAAAAAAAGUCUGAGUCGUGUUAGAUAACUGGAGUUUUAAAGUUAGAUCGGAUAAAAAUUUGCCAGUCGAACGAUGGGCAGUAGUAGUAGUAGUAGUAGUAUCAUCAGAAAAUGGAUCUGAACUCUCAAUAGCAGUGAUUCUUAUCAUCAUAUUCGAUCUGAACAAUCGCAAAAUAUCAAAUAAACGAAUCUGUAAGGGAAGUUUAUGCGACAUUAUCCAAUAAAUCGUUAUCAUCAUCAUUCGCUUUCGUAUUAAAUUGCUUACAAAUAAAAUAUAAAUCCGUGUUAUCAUAAAAUGCGUACAGACAUCUAACUCUUAAUAUGCAGAACUUUAAGCGAAAGUUAUACAGCAUUUUGUUCGUGUGAAAGGCAAAACGACUGUGAAUGUUUAGCGUUAAAUAUCUGAGCACUUAAUCUAAAACUACGUUCAUCAAAUGCUGCCCUACAUUAUGUGAAAAACCGCACCAACCUAUUUUUAUUAUUGUUAUUCUUGCCCUUAAUCAUUCAAUGAAGAUUCUGUACGUAAACUCGUUUUAACGAUGUCAUCCGAAUAAUUUUUCUGUAGAAAACAAGCGAAAAUUUUACAAACUUUGAAGCGAAAUAUUUAAAAAUAUUUCCAACAGAACAUCGCAAAAAAAACAUUUAACAUCCAUUUACU
rnacentral:lncRNA from 1 species